rnacentral:rRNA from 1 species
UACGUAGGGACCGAGCGUUGUCCGGAUUCAUUGGGCGUAAAGAGCUCGUAGGCGGCUGUUCAAGUCGAACGUGAAAACUCGGAGCUCAACUCCGAGCCUGCGUUCGAUACUGGACGGCUAGAGUCUGGUAGGGGGAUCUGGAAUUCCUGGUGUAGCGGUGGAAUGCGCAGAUAUCAGGAGGAACACCGGUGGCGAAGGCGGCCUGCUGGGCAGUAGCUGACGCUGAUGCGCGACAGCGUGGGGAGCAAACAGG